AGCAAGUUGUCAGAACAAUUGUGUUAUAUUUAGAUUAUAACUAUGAGAAUACCUCACUUGUUA
rnacentral:tRNA from 1 species